rnacentral:rRNA from 1 species
GGCCCCCCAAAACGAAGUGUGACGGGGUUACCCAAAGUGUUCUCUUUAGGACUGUGGUAAGUGAGUAAUGUCCCUUUCUAGAAAGGAGAGGGCAAGGCUGGUGCCAGCCGCCGCGGUAAAACCAGCUCUUCAAGUGGUCGGGAUAAUUAUUGGGCUUAAAGUGUCCGUAGCCGGAUUGGAAAGUUCCUGGUAAAAUCGGGUAGCUUAACUAUCCGCAUGCUAGGAAUACUAUCAUUCUAGAGGGCGGGAAAGGUCUGGGGUACUACAGGGGUAGGGGUGAAAUCUUAUAAUCCUUGUAGGACCACCAGUGGCGAAGGCGUCAGACUGGAACGCGCCUGACGGUGAGGGACGAAAGCCAGGGGAGCGAACCGGAUUAGAUACCCGGGUAGUCCUGGCCGUAAACGAUGCAUACUAGGUGAUGGUAUGGCCAUGAGCCAUAUCAGUGCCGUAGGGAAACCGUUAAGUGUGCCGCCUGGGAAGUACGGUCGCAAGGCUAAAACUUAAAGGAAUUGGCGGGGGA